UACGUAGGGGGCUAGCGUUGUCCGGAAUCAUUGGGCGUAAAGCGCGCGUAGGCGGCCCGGUAAGUCCGCUGUGAAAGUCAAAGGCUCAACCUUUGAAUGUCAGCGGAUACUGCCGGGCUAGAGUCCGGAAGAGGCGAGUGGAACUCCUGGUGUAGCGGUGGAAUGCGCAGAUAUCAGGAAGAACACCAACGGCGAAGGCAGCUCGCUGGGACGGAACUGACGCUAAGGCGCGAAAGUGUGGGGAGCGAACAGG
rnacentral:rRNA from 1 species